ensembl:snRNA U6 U6 spliceosomal RNA
GUGCUUGCUCUGGCAGCACAUACACUAAAACUGGAAUGAUACAGAGAUAAGCAAUGGCCCCCAUGCAAGGAUGAACAGUUUGCUCUAAAGCAAAGCUGUU